AGCCCCAUGGUGUAGAGAUAAACCGCAUUAUGGUCAAGCAUGAUUGCCUCUGGAGCAAUAGACCCAGGUUCGAAUCCUGGUGGGGCUA
rnacentral:tRNA from 1 species